rnacentral:tRNA from 1 species
GGCCUCAGGGCACGACAGCAGCAUGUCUGACUCCAGAUCAGAAGGUUGUGUGUUCAAGUCACACUGAGGUUG